AUGACACCAGAGAGGUCCAGGCACAUCCUGUGGAAAACACACGCACCAACUUGGUCUAACCACACGCUUGCCAAACGCUCUGACCCCACGCUCUUUUCUCUGGGAAAACUCACUCAUGGCCGGAAAGAGAGCAGGGACCUGCGGCCCUGACUGCGGGCUUCUCUUCGCAGCCUGUUCCUCGCCCGCAGGGACCUGGCACACAGGUGUCCGGGGACCUCACGGACCGGGAUUCUGAUCAAAGAGCUCGGUGGACCUAAAGCCAGGGAGUAACCAGACAGGCUCCUCAAACCGCCCCUCCCUGCCUGGCCCCUUCCCGGGGGGUUUUAGGCCGGGAGCCUCCUCCCCGGGGGGCCCUGGCUCCAGCGCCCAGCAGACUCUCACCUGCCCCCAGCGUCGGAGCUGAUCAAACGCAAGGCAGACAGAGGCAUCCUGCAAUUACGAGGUUGAAGAGCACAGCUGCAGGCGCCCAGAGACCUGGGCCGCGCUUUGAUCAAUGAUUCACGAGGUUCCUGAGGAAGGAGAGGCACGGCCCGACACCCGGUCCAGCUCUCCUGUCCUGGAAGCCUGGAGCCGCCCCAGCAGGCGGGCACUUACACAGUCGGAUCUGAGCCUUGGAGGCACUGCAGUUGUGUGAGAAUGAAAGCUACACAGGCCGUGUCCCUCUCUGCUGACCCUUGAAACCAGAACCUGGAACGGGGCAGAGGUGGGAGACGGGCAGAAAGAAGUUCCUGAUGGGAGAGUUUCCAGCCUGCGUGGACGACCCCUCCCAGGAGACGGAACUCCAUUCCCACCAUCUGGACCCCAUGCACUCUGCGCAGGUCUUGGUGACUGCUUCAGAAGGAGAGGGGGCUGCAGAGCCCUGAAGGUCGGCCCGGUGACCCAUGGGCGACAUCGGGCCCGGCGACAUUGCCUGCUUCCCCUAAACCUCUUCUUUGCUUCCACGUCUGCUCAGUGAAAUGGAAGACAGUCCCUUCUCAGCCGGAACUGCCCACCCUGAAGCCACGUGGACCAGCCGGGCUCUCUGGUCCUUCAUGCCACGUCACCUGGGGACUGCUAGGGAACACGGGCUCUCUCUGCCAACCAGCCAGCACCCCGGGUUUUGCUCCCUGGCCCUGGGGAGCCUCCGGGCUGGCUGGAACCACUAAUACCCACAUGCGUUAUGCCUCCAUUGCCCACCAAGCUGGGCCAUCUGACCGGCAGCAGGACGGCGUGCUCUUGGCUUUUAGGGCUUGGAAGCCUCAGUGGCCCCCCGUGGAAGGCCCUGUCCACCCGACGGUCCCUCAGCCUCCGUGCUGGACAUCAACCUUCUUUCCUCUGAGCUCCACUGCUGUCUCCAGCUGUAAUUACUCCCUCACCUUCCUCCCCACAGUUAUUCCAAAACCUG
rnacentral:lncRNA from 1 species